rnacentral:lncRNA from 1 species
GUUCUUUCCAAAGGAAUUAAGUUUAGAAAAGACUUGAGAAGUUGAGAAAAGAAUUAAGUUUAGAAAAGACUUGAGAAAUUGAGAAAAGAAUUAAGUUGGUGCUUGUAUGCAAAGAACAAAAAUAAACAUACAAAUGCAGUUGAUUCAAUUGGUUUUACGAAACUAUGGAUGAAUGGUGUUGUUGGGGUUAACAAUUUCAUCUUAUCCACUCUCAUAUAUUUAAUUUUCUUAUUUACUUCACUUAUUUAUCCAAUUGCUAUGCAAACUUUCUAGCCUACCCUUAACCCAAUCCCUUGGUGAAAAGAGCCUAUCAUUAAUUACUGACUUGUUAUCCCUAGCCUCCCCUCGUAACCAAUAAUGCAAUGUGAACAAAAGCAAAAUACAAUUGAUCGUCCUACCCCUAUCCCUAGGUGGUAUUAGCAUAAUCAAGGAAUUUCUCACCAGUUCAUGACAUUACGUUCGUCCCCAUAUCAAUAAAGACAAACAACAUUUACUGAAUGAGUUAAACAAUAAAAGCAUUAAGCAUAGAUGAGAACCCAACAAUUGAU